AGACUGGGUCUUGCUGUGUUAUCAGGGAUGACCUCAACUUACAAUGCACUCUAGAUGGGGAUGUUUGGGGUCAGUUCUGCCAGCAACCCAGUAGAGUGAAUAACCAAGCCUGCAUAACACGGUGACACCGUAAACCCCAAACUCAUUUUGAGGAACAUGAAGUGGGCUUUAUGCACUCCAGAAGAGAGUAUUAGGUUCCAUUACAGAUCCGUGUGACACCAAAUUGAACUCAGGACCUCUGGAAGAGCAGUCAGUGCUCCUAACUACUGAACCAUCUCUCCAUCUCCCUAAGUAGGCUUUAUAAAAUAUCAAGCAAAACACACAAUUUUACAUCUUUUUC
rnacentral:lncRNA from 1 species